GCCUGGGUGGCUCAGUCGGUUGAGUGUCUGACUUCAGCUCAGGUCAUGAUCUCACAGUUCGUGAGUUUGAGCCCCGCGUCAGGCU
rnacentral:tRNA from 1 species